UUUAACAAACAUUGGGCUAAAGAAAGUUAGCUGGGUUUCCUUACACAUGCUUUCUUGUGACCUUUAAUUUUUUUAACAUAAUUUGUUUGUUUAUUUUUGGUUUGCUGGGUCUUUGUUUCUGCGUGAGCUUUUCUUUGGUUGCAGGGUGUGCCUUUUCAUCGCUGUGGCUUCUCCUGUUGCAGAGCACAGCUCUAGGGCAUGGGGCUUCAGUACCUGAGUUUGGAUGUGCACUCUGGACCGGCAACCUGCGUUAUAGCCGUAGUUCCCAAAUCUGGAAUCAUAAUCACAAAUUCCUAGGCUCCAAAGACUCAGUGAAUCAAAAGUUGGGGAAGUGGGAAUUCUGGACUUUCAUUGAAGGCACCUUUGGGAGACCAGCUUUAAGCAGCUAGUUUAAGCAGCUAGCUCGUCUGCUCCAUCAGGCUCCAAGGCAUGUCAUGCAUAGUGCAACCCUCCUCGCCCCAAUUUAUGUAACUGCACAACUCCUUUUAUCCAAGAAGUGCAUGUUGAUAUUUAUGGAACUAGCAGAUUAGAAAAUGCUGGUCAAUGUAUUUUUCAUACUAAAGGCUUAAAGAUUAAAAACAAAAAAAAGAUCAUCAAGUAUUGGUUUGGGACUUUCCUUUGAAUUGUAUAUUUCCUAUGUGAUGGUGGUUCAGAUAGCACUAAAAAUCACACCUGUUUUUUGAGUCCACAUUGACAUGUUAUUUAAAUUUUUUGUAGUGGUGUUUAUUUCAUUUAUAUUAUCCUUAUAGUUUUUUUUUUUUUUCUUUUUUGCAGCAGACAUUCCCAGGAGAUUGAAUGUAAUAUGUAGUAAAUUGUUCUGUUCUCUCCUUCUGUUAGGGAAUAAUGCUUAAACUUAUCUGAUUUAUAAAAACCCAAAUCCCCAGAGAUAGGAAAUUUUGUAAUGCAAAUGAGUUUGAUAAACUCUUGGCCUAAAAUAGAUGUCUUCUAAGAGAGGAGGGAGUGAAGGAUCUCAUUUUUAAAAAUCCUGGUUGUUUCUAGGGCUGGACUGUAGAUUGUUAAUUUGUUGUGCUGAAGGGGAUCAUGACAGUGGCUUAAUUAAAAUGAUGUGAUUAGACAAAUAUAAAGCAAAAAAUUCUGGUUCUGAGAAGGAGAUGAUUUUUCGGAGGGACAAGAAAACUUGGGAAAACCCGUCUGAAGAGGUUUACCUUUCUCCCCAUAGCUGCCCUGAUGGCACACCUCAGAGAGCUGGGAUCAGAGAGCUGGGCGGCGGAACCGGAUCAGCUCUGCAGGCUUCGCGUUCCUGUGCGGACAGCCUUGAAGGUGUUAGGGGGGCAGCUGUAUUUUGAGUGGAGAAAACAGGCUGUAAUGGGUAACUCCUGUCACAGCCAUUACAAUCAGAUGAAAUCUUUUCUUAUCUUGUAAAAGUGGACUCAGUGAAGACAGGUGUGUUCACUCGUGUCUUGGAUUGUGUGGCGUAAAGAAACUGGGACAUUUUGUACCAUGACGCGGGCAGCUGUCUACCUCGUGACACUUCAUGUGGCCUGUGGAGGACACUCAGUGGGCACGGUGCCGGCUGCCGUCUGCUCUGACAUUCCGAAGAUUGCGCUUAAAGCACCAAAGAAAAAAUCACAUCUCUCCAUUCCUCAAAUAGUAUGCUUUUAACAAUUCUUCAUCCGUUAAACAAUAAGGAAGACAUGAAGCAAAGUGUAAAAUCCCCUACCCCAUUCAAAUCCUUCUUUUGGGUGAAUUUUGAGUGCAUAAGCUUCUGGACCUUUUUCUAUACCUUACAAUGUAUGUAUGUAUAUACAUUUUAAAAAAUGAAUCAUGGUUGCUUUAAAAAAAAAUGCUUCACUGUUAGUCAAAAAGAGUUACUUGAUUCUUCUUAAUGAGUGCCUGACAUUCUACUGGAUGGAGUCACUAGAGGUACUUACCAUUAUGUAUGGAAGGGCAUUUAGUCUUUAUUUGGUAUAUCACUGCUAAAAACAGUCUAGUAAAAAGUAUUAUGACAGUAUUUCUGUAGAUUGAUUCAAAGAAGUGAAAUUUCAGAGUCAAAGAAUAUGCAAUAUUAAAAUUUUAAUUUAAUAAAAGGGUGGCUCACCGUCGUCCAAAGCUUCAUCCUAAAUUACUCUUUUAUUAAUAGUUGCAGUGUUUGAGUGUGCCCAAUUCCCCGCAUAUUCACCAUCCUUGGGGGAUAUGACUCUUAUUUCUCAAUUUGAUAAAGAAAAACAGGCCCUCAUUUGAUUUAUAGUUCCUUGGUCAUGUGAUGGUUGUAUGUCUUUUUCAUAGUUUUUUUUGUGUGUGUUUUUUUUGCUACUUGCAUGUCUUUUGCUGUGAAGGGCUGGCUCGUGUCCUUGUUCCAGAUUUAUCAGUGCAGUCCUUUCUCCCCACUCUCUCCAUGAAGGAUUGGUUUAGCCCCCAGCUCCCCUCCUUGGAUACCAAAAUCCCCUGAUGCUUAAGACCCUUACAUAAAAUAGCUUACUGAUUGCACAUAAUCUAGGCAUACACCCCCCCUCCUUCUGCUAUAUACUUUAAAUGAAUCUCUAGAUUACCUGAAAUACCUUAUACAUUGGAAAUGUAUGCAAAUAGUUAGAAAUACAACAUGAAUACUAUGUAAAUAGCAAGCAGCAAAUUCAAGUUUUGCUUUUUGGAAU